GGUGUUGUAGCUCAGUGGUAGAGUGCUUGCCUAGCAUGUGUGAGGCAUGGUUCAGUCCUUAGCACCA
rnacentral:tRNA from 1 species